GCGGUGGUGGUGGUGUUGUCAAAUGCUGCAUUUUGAGCACUGAAAUAAGCACUCGCCGCCAAGUAGUACCUGGCUGGUGGCUGGUCACCGGUAAUUAAAACAUCGGUGGUCUGCCCAGGGCCCAGCAUGAGCACCGUGGUAGUGAAAGGUUUGGUGUAGGAGGCAUCAGCACUAACAACGGUGAGUUUGUGGUUGGCCACGGAGAAGAAAAGAGGUUGGUUGAGGGCAGCGUUGAUGACUCUCAGAAGGUUGGUCUCGCCGACGUCUAUAGGGACUAUGACAGUGUCUGCAUGACAAUCACAGUGAAAAUUUAGCUGAUCACAUUAUGUGCCACGCAAAAUUUACUCGUUACAUCAAUUAUUAUGGUCAAUUUGCGUUAUGAGGGAUACAAGCAAUUAUGGAAUUACCUUUGCUUGAACAAUUGUAAAGAUCACCAGGUUGACCAUUGAUGGUGUAUGCAUCAGAAACAUUUGGAGCUGCUCCUGUCCUAGUCGCCUGCCUAACAACGUCGAUAGGGUUUGCGUCCCACCAUUCACCAAGAAGAAUUGCUGUUUCGCGUUUCGGUUUAGUGAACGGGUAGGAGUCUCCUUGUUUAGGAUGAAUGAUGAGGGCACCGUAAACGGUGGCUCUAAGCCAUGAACUGUGAGCAUGCCACCACAGAGUACCUUCUUGACCUUGAAUUGUAAACCGGUAGGUGUAGCUCCCUCCUGGCCUAAUCGGGCACUGAGUCACAAAUUCAGGCCCAUCUGCCCAUCCAGUUCUCAUCUGCCUAAUCCCAUGCCUGAAAUGAAGAAGAUAAGUCAUGCUAAUUAAUUUAUUGGGAGAAUUGAAGAAGAUAAAAGAUUAUCUUGCGAGACUAUCUGGCAACAUAAGCAUGCACGUUCUCAUAUUCAUGGGCAUGCAUGCAUGCGUGUUAGUUACCAGUGAAUGGUGGCAUUGUAUCGAGCUUUGUUCGUUACUUUGACGACAAGAGUGUCACCAUUGUUUACUUCCAAGGUUGGUCCAGGGUAUUGUCCAUUCACUGUGAUGGAGUUGUGGGUUUUGCACAGCCUCUUCACCUUUGUUGCUUGAAUCUAUAACCAUUUCAACAUUAAAUGGUCACAAAUAAGUAUAUGAGAAGAAGAAAAAUGAAAGGGACCUAGACACACAAAUAUACAGAGAUGUAGAAAUUAAACUUACAACGAACUCAUGCUUGUGAAUUUUGGGUUCUGCCAAGGAUAUCGUCGAUGAAGCCAAUAGAAGGCAAAGGCUGAAAAGGCUUAAGGAGAAUCGGUUUUUGUUGCCGAAAAUGGCGUUGAGUGCCUCCAUCUCGAUCGAUUAGCUAGGCAAUGAGCUCACUAAUCAACCCUUAAUUAACCUUUGUUUGAAUGAUAGAGAGAAGGUACGGUAGUUUGAAUGCUGAAGUAAGAGUGGAGGGAUGCUUUUAUAGUAAAACUCUGAGGAGAGAGGUUGUCGUUAGAGGUUGGCAGAUUAGGUUUUGAUUCGUAAAAUGGUCAGAUUUUUUAGCAAACUUAGCUCAACCCUGUAGGAGUUGUUGCACCCACUGGCCUAUAUCCAAAGUGAAUGAUUUCGUCAAUGCUUGCUUCUCAAGUCUUCUUUCUGGGAUUGAAUAAUUCAAUAAAAGCAUUAAUAUUGGUAUAUUUUUUUGACGUAUGUAUGUUAAUGCAAAUACAAAAAGAAAUCCCACUGUUUUCCAACGUACGUGAAGACAAUCGUAAUGGUCAAAAGACAAAAACUAAAUUAGACACAUAAUUAUAAGUCAAACCCAUUGUUCUCUUUUUCUAAACUAGACUAAUCAACCUUAAACCCUAAAGUAAUCAUUUGAUAAAACGACAUUAGUUUGGUGAUUUUGUUUGUGUCGUCGGGUCGGAAAAGUUAUACGUUGAGAGAUUUUUAAUGCUAAUAGUGCUAUAAUUAUGCUAAACACGUAAUGAAUCAAGAUAAUUAAAUCAAUAUUUUGGCUUUUCCUUUGUCUAAAACGAGUACAUACAUGUAACAUCACCAGCUAGCUACCCCUAAAAAUAAAGGAAACUUUAACGAAAAGCACCUGAUAGUGUUCACUUUAACGAAAACCACAUUUUUACACUAAAAAGUCAAUCCUGAUAAUACUAUUCAUUUUACCCUUUAUUUUGUUCUUAUCAUUAAAACUCAAAGUUUUCAAGCCCUUUUCAUUAGUUUUUCUAAAAAAAAUUAUCGAUCGGUCACUUUCUGUUUUGACCAUGCAUUGUCGAUCUUUUCCCUUGAAGUUAAUUAGAUGGAGGGUAGAAGACUAAAGAGGGAAAGAGUAUACAAAUUAAAAACGUUUGCAUGAACUCGUUAAACAAUCUUUUUCCUUCCUAAUGUGGUACGGGAAAUCAAAAAGCAAUAUGCCUAAAGUCCAUGCUAAAGUGGAAAAGUAAUUUAGCUUGAAAAAGAUAAGUCGGAUGGUUUGUUCUUUUAAGAUAUUUAAUUCCCAUAAACAUUUGUUACCCAUGUUUCAUUUGAUGUUGUAGUAAUACAGAUAUUCAAGGCUCAAUUAUGCUCGCACGUGUUAAAACUGUGAUAGAUCAUAAAUUGUUCUUCAAAAGUCACAAUAACUAGGAUAUUUCGAAUGAGGAUCAUUUUGUGAGGAAUUUAGGGACAUCAAAUUGUGUCCGUUCAUUGUAAAUCGUGCGGUCAUAAUUAUUUUAAAUACUUUUAUUUAAAAUUAAAUAUGAAUAGUAUCUAACGAAAACUGGCUGCACGAUGUACGAUGAACGGACAUGAUUUGAGAAUCCGGUAUUUCAACCAUAUCUACAAAUUUUUUUGUCAAGUACGCUUACGUUUUUUGAAACCGUGACCAGGUCGUACAUUAAUUGUUUCUCAAAAGUCACUAGAUAGAACUAGGUCUGGCAAAUGAAUAGUUUGUGUUUGUAUCAUAUUUGUUAUCUUAACGGGUCGUGUUGUGUCAAACUCAUUAUAUUAACGGGUUCUUAACAGGAGACCAAAUAAGAACCGAUUCGUUAACAGGUUAUAUUGUUUCAUGUCGGGUUAACUAUCAUGCAAGAAACUAUCAUAUAUAAUGUCUAGAUAUGGCAAACGGUAUUUUAUCAAGUUCUUAAAGGGUGACCUGAUAAAGACCCAACUUGUUAACUGGUGACCUAAUAACAAUCCGACUCGUUAACGAAUUAAUUAGUGACACGUUAUUUUGAUGUCGUUUCGUGUCGAAUGAACGAGUCGUUUAAGAAAUUAUCAUGCCCAGAUAGAACCUUCAAUCGAUUCAAUUGAAAUCAAAACCUCAAGUAUCACGGUUACUUUAUAAAUUCAUCAACUCAACAUCCAGGACUAUUUAAUUAAGGGAACUUUAACGAAAAGCACCCGGUACUGUUCACUUUAACGAAAAACCACAUUUUUACGCUAAAAAGUCAAUCCUGGUACUAUUCAUUUUACCCUUUAUUUUGUCCUUAUCAUUAAAACUCAAAGUUUUCAAGCCAUUUUCAUUAGUUUUCCUUUUAAUUAAUUAUACUCUACUAUAGAUUAGACUAACACCGCAAAGCCACAGUGAUGUUGUAGUAGGUCACCGAUCGACGACCAAUUAGUUGUUGGGCACAUAGAAACAAGUAGAGAUGGUCGAGUGCAGGGAAUUUGAGCUAAGUUAUUAUGAUUAUUAAUUAAUGUUGAAAGGGGACCAAGCAGGAUCAAAUCUCAAGUUUGCCGCAUUAAGUCAUCUCUCGACAAUUUGGUAGCAUGUGUUGCAUGCAUUACAAUACAUCAAGAUUUUAUUGGGUCGACAAUUCAGUUAGAGAGUGAUCAUGGAUACUUAAACAGAAAAUUUAUCUAUAUUUACAAAAAUUCCGUUUACAUUAGGUAGCCUAUCACACAGCAGAACACAGGGAAGAUAUCAUCCAUGUAACUAAUGUCUGCAUUAGGUUUUGUAGCUUCAUAAGGCAAGAAUGGGACCAUAGCAUCUCAAAAUGUGAAGAUAUAUAGCAAUGCCUAGUUUAGCAUACAACAUAUAUAUUUUGAUUUGUUUUGUUAAACAUAUGUAGUGCUUUUGUAGGCAAAAAUGAAGACUUAAGAAGAUUAAUAUAUGUUCUAUCAUUGAUUGUAUCAAGACGUAAGUAGAACAUCUACCCUAUCACUGAUUGUUUACAUAUAUGUGAGUCUCUCUCUCUCUCUCUCUCAUUUACCAAUAUCAAUUGGUUAAUAUAGUAUAUGUAUUAAUACCUGUUAAUUUAAAAAAAAACUAUGGUUAGCUAUUGGUUUGAUCCCAAAUUAGGAAGCAUUAAUGUUGUUUUGCUGUAUUGUAUGGUUGGGUAUAUGUUACUUUGUAUUAAUGUACAACAUUUUCUCACACCAAAUAGAAGACACAUACACAUAUACAUGCCUCAUCGACCAUAAAACUUACGUACUAUACAAUGAUUGGACAAAUGUUUAUACAACACUCUUCACGUGACAUGUAAUAGGUCAAACUGAUGAGUUCUACAUCAAGUCACAUAAUGAGUAUUGUAAAAACACUAACGGAUGUCCCGUCACUCCCUUAUAGAUAGGUUGUCCCCUUGCCGGCAAAAGUGUUCAAAUAAGUAGGUUUUAAGUGGUAACCAGUGACAAAGCCAAAUCGACCAGCUAACUGCCAAAUUACACGCAAGACAAGGUGACAAUUCCGUUAGUCACUUUGAAUGGAAGCAUGUCAUUGAUGUCUAUACACCAGAAACUAGAUCAGAGAGUGAAAGGAAGAAGAUCAAGAGGGAGGGGAGGUGUUGGAUAAUUGAAUUAGAUAGGUGAACAAGAUUACAUGAUAGCAAUUGACACAUGGUUGGUUGAGUUUGUUAUAUAUUGACUUUUAUAUUCAGAAUUUUCAGUUGACAACAUCUUAAGUACAAUCAGAAGUCUUUAUGAAGUAUGCAUAUAAACCAACUUACAAUAAAAAUUGAUUAACAAUUUAAUUAUAUUUUUUUUUUAUUUCUCAAUUAAAUCAAUUUAAGAAAGACCUGAACCCGAGGACUUAUCAAUAGGCAAUGCAUGCUGCUUCAAUACCCAACCAAAGGGCUACUACAAUACCAAUAAAAAUACGGUUGUUGUUGUGGAGAAAUUUACAGUGUAUUCGGGGUACUAGCCGAUAAAUUUUUAGUGUACCCAAAACAUAAGUCGUAAGUCGAUACACUAUGUGUUAUAAUAGAAGUAGAGAGACACCGAAAAAUAUAUGAUAUAUCCUCUCUUAUAACAGGUGGUGUACUGGCAUGUGUUUCUGGUACAUAGAAAUAUCUCUCGUCGCUACAAGAUAACAUAAUAGGCUUUGAAAUUUGUUAACAUUCUAUGGAAAAAAAAAGAAGAAGGUAUCAUUAACAAACCGGAGGUACUAAAACCAUUAAAAGAACACCAAUAACUUAUUUGGCACUGUACAAAGUAUUUGAAAUACAGGAAAGAAAAUACUAUAUUCAGGCAAUAUUUCGGAAGGAGUUGCAAAUGGAUCCGCGAGUUCACCAAUUAAGCAAUUAUUUUAUGUUCAAUAACCAAAAAUUACUAUUGAAAAAAAUAAUAUAAGAGAUCAUUUAGUUAUCUGGGCUCUCUAACGAAUUCCUUUAGCCAAAUACUACAUCCAUCCCCUGAAAGAAGCAGACAUGAUAAAUUUUAAUCAUAGAUGAACUGAUCGAAUUAACCAACCAAAAGUUUUAGUCAUUAUACUAGUGGCAUAGUCAGAAUUUUCAAAUAAUGGGGUCAUAAUAUCAACCAAAAAGCUUCAUUGGACAAUUUCAUUGAGCACCUAGUAGGCACAUGCAAAUUCUUGUCAAUACCGAAAGUUUAUGUCCACAUAUGUCGACAACUACUAUUAUUUGUGGAGACUUGCUGAUGUUGAAUGCAAGACACUGUAGAGUAAUUUUGAAUACUGCUAAGGUUUUUCAACUAAAGUAUUUCAUCGAGUACAUGAUGCGCACAAUAGAGUUGGACACAAGAAGAGAGAGAGACACACCAUUUUACUUCUUCUAUUUUCUUGUGUGAGAAGUAAGAAUAAGAGGUUGUAAUUUAGUUUGCCUUAACUGUUUAUAAAGGUCAAAUACAAUACACAACAAAUAUACACGAGGUUUUUGAAGUUGUUGGGAUCAAGGGCAACCAAUGACCCCAUAUUGACUCCGGCACUACAUUAUAUACUGAAUAGAAGCAAAGACCUCGUAACGGUCGUACGAUAAUAAAAAGUCAUAGCAAAAUACUUUAAACUGAAAAACAAGUAAGCGUAAUUGCUUGAUUCUCAAGAAGUUCUUCCAACCAAUCGUAGUUUUUGUUACGUGAGGAUAGGUAUACAUAUCCUAAACAAUAAAACAGAUCGAGUAAGAACUAGACCCCCAAAUGCAGGGGAAACUCAAACAACAAUACUAGACCCCCAAAUGCAGGGGAAACUCAAACAACAGCGAAAUCAUAUAAGUGAUAAAGGGGAAAAUGAAAACUCGGUAAUCGAGUUUUACAAAAGUUGCUAUCGAGACGAUCUAUCGAUUCUUAACAAAGAGGCAGAUCCGCCGGUGGUGGCUUGAUUGACUGCAAUGCUCCAACUCCAUUGUCCACCAAGAACACCAUGGCCAAACCCCAGUUGAUGUGAACAUCCAAGUGACAAUGCAUUAUCCAUGCACCUGCAUAUAUCAAAUAUUUAUUAAAUAUAUAUAAUAUUAAAAACAUUGAUACAGAGUUAUAAUAGUUUAGAACAGAAUAUCGUCUUAUUUAAAAUGUGAAAUUGUUACCUGGAUUGUCAGCAACAAAUCGGAUGACUGCCCAUCCAUUGGCAGGCACUGCCACUGUGUUCCUCAUAGGUGGAUCAACAAGGUUGAAUUUUUUGGUAUCAGUUUUGGCAUUGAAAUUUCCAAAACCUUCGGCGAGGAUGUAAAAAUCGUAUCCGUGAAGAUGGAUAGGAUGGUUUUCGGGUGUGACUAUGCUUGUGUCCUGCAGCACAACCUGCACCCUUGAUCCAUACUUCAACUUGUAUCCUCUAGUGCCCGGCAUAGGCUGCCAGAGAGAGCGACUCACGUUACCUGUGUAGUCGAAUUUCCGCGGAGGGUUUGCUGGAAAAUCAGUAGUAAAAACUCCAGGGAUGUUCUGUUGGUAAGCCUGAAGGAUUGAGAUGUUGUUUGGAAGCACAAAUGAUACAUUGUUCAUGCUGGCUGUGAAACGUGUCCCGUUCGGGCCUUGGCACCUUUGGGAUCCAAAGUUUUUCGGGCAGUUGUUGAGCCCAAGACCGAUUGUGAAGAAGAGGUUUUCGUCGAUUUCAGUUGGGACUUCAACUUUUCUUGGACUUCUGAAGCUCUUGGUGAAAGCAGAAGCAGUGUUUGUGUCAUUGAAAGCAGGGAGUUGUGGCAUAAUUGGUUUGGCUGUGGGACCCUUUUUGCAAUUGGGGCUGCAAGGGGCAGAUUUGUAUUCAAGAAUGGCUGUGGUAGUGGUGUUGUCGAAUGCUGCAUUGUGAGCGCUGAAAUAAGCACGCGCCGCCAAGUAGUACCUGGCUGGUGGCUGGUCACCGGUGAUUAAAACAUCGGUGGUCUGCCCAGGGCCUAGCAUGAGCACCGUGGUAGUGAAAGGUUUGGUGUAGGAGGCAUCAGCACUAACAACGGUGAGUUUGUGGUUGGCCACGGAGAAGAAAAGAGGUUGGUUGAGGGCAGCAUUGAUGACUCUAAGAAGGUUGGUCUCGCUGGAGUCUAUAGGAACUAUAACAGUGUCUGCGUAAUUAAUUACAAUUAAAAUUUAGCUAAUAACAUUGUGUGACAGUACAUUACAUUUAUUUGUUACAUCAAUUAAUAACAUC
rnacentral:lncRNA from 1 species